AACGAACGCUGGCGGCAGGCCUAACACAUGCAAGUCGAGCGAGACCUUCGGGUCUAGCGGCGGACGGGUGAGUAACGCGUGGGAAUAUGCCCUUUGGUACGGAAUAGCCUCGGGAAACUGAGAGUAAUACCGUAUGUGCCCUUCGGGGGAAAGAUUUAUCGCCAAAGGAUUAGCCCGCGUUGGAUUAGGUAGUUGGUGGGGUAAUGGCCUACCAAGCCUACGAUCCAUAGCUGGUUUGAGAGGAUGAUCAGCCACACUGGGACUGAGACACGGCCCAGACUCCUACGGGAGGCAGCAGUGGGGAAUAUUGGACAAUGGGCGCAAGCCUGAUCCAGCCAUGCCGCGUGAGUGAUGAAGGCCCUAGGGUUGUAAAGCUCUUUCACCGGAGAAGAUAAUGACGGUAUCCGGAGAAGAAGCCCCGGCUAACUUCGUGCCAGCAGCCGCGGUAAUAC
rnacentral:rRNA from 1 species